GACGAACGCUGGCGGCGUGCUUAACACAUGCAAGUCGAACGGAAAGGCCCUGCUUUUGUGGGUUGCUCGAGUGGCGAACGGGUGAGUAACACGUGAGUAACCUGCCCUUGACUUUGGGAUAACUUCAGGAAACUGGGGCUAAUACCGGAUAGGAGCUCCUGCUGCAUGGUGGGGGUUGGAAAGUUUCGGCGGUUGGGGAUGGACUCGCGGCUUAUCAGCUUGUUGGUGGGGUAGUGGCUUACCAAGUCUUUGACGGGUAGCCGGCCUGAGAGGGUGACCGGCCACAUUGGGACUGAGAGACGGCCCAGACUCCUACGGGAGGCAGCAGUGGGGAAUAUUGCACAAUGGGCGGAAGCCUGAUGCAGCAACGCCGCGUGCGGGAUGACGGCCUUCGGGUUGUAAACCGCUGUCGCCUGUGACGAAGCGUGAGUGACGGUAAUGGGUAAAGAAGCACCGGCUAACUACGUG
rnacentral:rRNA from 1 species